UACGUAGGUGGCAAGCGUUUGUCCGGAUUUAUUGGGUUUAAAGGGUGCGUAGGCGGCUUUGUAAGUCAGCGGUGAAAUACUCUAGCUUAACUAGAGGGGUGCCAUUGAUACUGCGGAGCUUGAGUACAGAUGAGGUAGGCGGAAUUGACGGUGUAGCGGUGAAAUGCAUAGAUAUCGUCAAGAACACCGAUAGCGAAGGCAGCUUACUGGGCUGUAACUGACGCUGAUGCACGGAAAGUGUGGGGAUCAAACAGG
rnacentral:rRNA from 1 species